rnacentral:rRNA from 1 species
GACGAACGCUGGCGGCGUGCUUAACACAUGCAAGUCGAACGGAAAGGCCCUGCUUUUGUGGGGUGCUCGAGUGGCGAACGGGUGAGUAACACGUGAGUAACCUGCCCUUGACUUUGGGAUAACUUCAGGAAACUGGGGCUAAUACCGGAUAGGAGCUCCUGCUGCAUGGUGGGGGUUGGAAAGUUUCGGCGGUUGGGGAUGGACUCGCGGCUUAUCAGCUUGUUGGUGGGGUAGUGGCUUACCAAGGCUUUGACGGGUAGCCGGCCUGAGAGGGUGACCGGCCACAUUGGAACUGGGAUACGGCCCGGACUCCUACGGGAGGCAGCAGUGGGGAAUAUUGCACAAUGGGCGGAAGCCUGAUGCAGCAACGCCGCGUGCGGGAUGACGGCCUUCGGGUUGUAAACCGCUUUCGCCUGUGACGAAGCGUGAGUGACGGUAAUGGGUAAAGAAGCACCGGCUAACUACGUG